ensembl:miRNA
GGCCCAUGGGUCUUAUCCUGCAAGGUGCUGCAGAGACGAGGCCUGUAGCACCUUGCAGGAUAAGGCCUACUGGGCC